rnacentral:lncRNA from 1 species
ACUUCCAUAUAAACGCUCGUUUUAUUUUCACCCCCUCCCCUAAAUCCCCAAUUUUGCGCUGCUAAAAACCCUGAUUCUAUUCCCUUUGUUUUCACCGAUCAAAAUCCCCUUCUCAUAAAUUUUCUCUCUUGAUGGAAGAGACGCGAUGUGCAAUUUGACUGUUCCAAUUUCCUUUUCAACGUUCAAUUAAAACCCUAGCCUUUUCCUUUUGCUUCUAUGGGGAGGGAAGGAAUCAUGUCUUUCGAUCUCAUAUGCUGAAGUCGUCCUGCAGCUACUUUGGAUCCUCCCAAGAUCUGUACGGCUGAGGACCAAAAGAAGAAAGAUGAUGAGGAUUUGGUGAGUGACUGUUCGGGAUUUCGCCCUCGCUGGUUCUCUACACCGCAAAUCCGUACGCUCUUCCCUUUUUUUAUUUUAUUUCCUUUUGAAAAAUAAAUUUUUAAAUCUAUAUUCAAAUCUUAAUUCUUUUUAUUCUAAUAUAAAUUAUUUAAUUUCUUGUUUAUCUUCGUCUUCAAUUUUGGUGUACGUAUAUAAAAUUAUUAUGGAUUUCUCUUUAUUUUUAUUUUUUUUUAAUCUUUGGUGUUUUAGUUUCAGUAAUUGAUUUGCAGUUCUUAUUAAAUUCAAUGGCGUUUUUAAUUGCUUGUUCCUUCGAUUAGUUUGUUUGAUUUAGUUAAGGUUUGAUCUCUUUUAUGUUAUAAGUUUCGAUAAUUAUGCCAUUUAAGUUAUUAACGGACCUUUCUAGUCUUAGAUAUCUUGUAUUUUAAAGUUGAAUUUGUAAUUGUAACUACGAAUUUUGCAUUGAAUGAGAUCCAUCUUAUAAUUUUCAUUUCAAUUCGAGCACUGAAUGUUGAUUAUUCAUUUUAUUGCAGGAAUCAUUUCAACUUUUACCGUAUUCCCCGAAGCUUUUGAAUGGUUAUGUCCUGAGAAUCAGAUUGAUUAUGUCCUGUUAUUUGCCUAGGGCUUCCUUUAUAUGUCAAGAUCAUUCGUAUAGAAUAUAUGUCAUGGUUGUGCAUUUCCUUUUUGCUUACUAUAAUAACAAGAAUAUUAACUUUGAAAAAUAACAUUUUGUCUUAUUUAUAUGUAGUAUUGGCUAUACCAUGCUUAUGGAAGGUGGUAAAUAAACUCAGCUUGAAUGAACAGCUUUUAUUGAUGUUUGCUAGUUUAUUUUUAAGUUUGAUUGUGUUUGUUAAGAAUUCCAAAGUUGCACUUGUUUUUGUAUGUUUGUGUUCAUUCGUUUAAAUAAAUGAACUUAUUCGUGAACUUAAUAUAAGUAAAUAUGUCGAUAAACAAUUAAAAAUCUGUUCAUGAAUAGUAAAUUGACAAACCAUAAAUAAACAUAUUUCUUAUUAUUUAGAUAUGAAAUAAUCAAAUAUAAAUAUUAUUUUAUUUUAUUAUAAUCAAACAAUAAACAAGUUCUCAGUAAGGCGACUAAUAGUUUAGUUCGUCUUUGUAGAUGCUAUUCACGUCUUUGCUCGCCUUUGCGAUUGCUCUUCUCAGCCUCUUCUCACAAUCCUUGAAGGUAUUCCCAACUUUUAUUUCUAUUUUGCUUUUGAUUGUUCGCUUAUGCUUGAAAUUUCUGUCUUUGAAUAUGAAAUUUUGAAUAUUACUCAGAUAUUAGCAACAUAUCUUAACUGACCAAAUGUAGUAUAAAGAUUUCUGUAUUAAGAGUUGAAUUAUAUUUUGUGUCUUUUAUUUAAAAAAUAGAUAAAUUAUUUUCUAUUAAAAAUUUCAUUUAUUUCUACCAUUAAAACUGUCGUGGAUGAUGAAAUAACCAGACAGUUACCGGUAGCAUAUAAGGACCCGUUUUUAAUAGUAAAAAUGUACAAAAUUCUUAAUUAAAAUAUCAAUUUACUUUUUAAUCUAAUAUAUAAAAAUCAAUUUACGGAUAGUUUGUUGGUAAUAUUUAUGGCUGAUCCGGAUGCCAUCAUUAUUCAUUUCUAAGUGCCAAUAAGAAAUCAGAGCCAGCAGGGGAUGGUUGAUUAAUUUCAGUUCCAUGGUCGGCCUUUGCUACUUGAUUUGACCUAUGCCAAAGCUACUUUCGUGCUCCAAAUGCAAAAUUGAAUGUUUAUAGAUAAAAGUUACAGACUACUUCUAAGUUCUAACCAUGCCAUGCUGAAAUCUUGUGUUAAUAUUAGUUUUGUCAGGGCAUGCUAGUUUUGAAAAAAGUCAAAUUAAAUUAAAAGUUUUGAACUUUUUCUAUGAAUCGAUCAAUUUUGAAUUUCAAUUAUAUAGUUUAUGAGUUGAAUCACAUCAUUUUAUUUUCAAAUUCAAGCUAUUGGUUUUUAAUGAACAAAUCAAAUUAAAUUAAUUCAAAUUUAGAUUUGUUGAUACCAAGUUAAGAUUAUGGUAGCUAAUGACAGUUCCCUCACUAAAUGGGCAAAUAGCUGUAAGAUAUGUUGCUAAUAUUCAAAUUAUAAGAUAGCUGAAAAUUUGACAUGGUCCUGAAAUUCAAUUUAUAAUUUGUUGCUAAUAUUCUUUAAUUUUUAGCUAAAUUAACUGACCAAAUUCGAUUUGUUGGUUAACCAUAAAAAAUUCAGUUUGGUUAACAGAAGAGAUUUUGAGAAAAUUUGAUUUUUGAAUGUUAUUUUGGUUAUUAGUUAGGAUUAAUCCUGUUAAGUUUUUAUACCUUCAUUUUAUUUGUUUUGAACUUUUAGUAUGUGUUAAUUUAACAUCUGAUGGUGAUUAAUAUCUUUAUUGUAUUAUGCUUCUAGGUUUUGAUUUGUUCUGAUAUUUUGGUUGGAUACAUGUAUGUGUUCUUUUAUAAAAUUUUCUUGUGUAAAAAUAUAUUACUUUUAUGUUUUGGAAUCUAUUCUUCAUGUUGCGGUGGACUGAUAAUUAUGUGUGGGUUUUUUGGGUCUUCCAAAUAAGUUCCGUGUUAUAUCAACUCGUGAAUUUAAGUUCUGUGCUAUAUCAACUCGUGAAUUUUGAUCAUGAUGUCAACAAAAGUAUUGGUGUCCGAAUAAUUGCAUCCAUUGGGAAAAUACAGUUGAUGAAAAUAGGAGGUACAUGUAUAAUUUUGAUAUAGAUUCUAGGGUAUUGGUGAAUUAUUUUUUACCCUUUUUCUUAUAGAUAAUUUAUAAAUGCUUUAGCUUUUGUUCCUGUUUGACAUUGAAGGCCUACUUUAUAUUGGAUGAACUCUUGAUUGCCGGUGAACUUCUUUAUGUUUGUCCGAAUUUGACUCAAUCCAAAUUAUAGGUUUAAAAUUUUAUUCAAUUCUAUUUCAUAUUUUUAAAUGAUUAACUUAAUCUCGUUUUAGACUUAUUCAGAUUUAUAAAGAAAUAUAUUUUUAGUUUAAUAUUUAAUAUUUUAGAUUUUUAUUAAAAUUUUAAAUAUAGCCAAUAUAUUUUUCAUAUACGUUACUUUAUUUGCAGGUUAAUAGCUUUCCAGUAUUGGGUUUAAAAAGCUUUAUAAAUGCUUGAUGAAUAUUUUCCUGCAGUAUUUCUUUUUACUCAUUUUUAAUCCCAUGCUGUAUUUGAUUUAUGCUGGACAUGUUUUGUUGCUAAAUUACUUAACUUAUUUCUAUGCAUUUUUGCUUUAACUUACUUAAGAAAUACAAUUUUUUUUACUCCAGCCUCUGUUUGCUUGUUGAAAUUAUUAAGGUACGUUUUAGUUCAAAAUUCGCAUAAAUAAUAGUUUCAUCAUGAUGAUUUUGAAAAAAAUCAUUUUACUUAGAUAUAUGAUUUGGUAUGAAGUAAUGAUGAGUAUGGUUUAUAAUUAGCUCAUCUUGGUAAGAUUGUUAAUUGGUAUGAUAUGCAUUUGUGGUUGUUAUAAUUCGGCUCAAGUGAAUUAAGUAUGGUUGUUGGAUGUGUUUUUGGGUAUGGUUUAUUAUUGAAUUACAUUUUGACUGUAAUUUGUUUAUUUAUUAGUUUGGGAAAUGGCAGUGAUGAGCUGUUAUAUUUGGUUGAUGAUAGAUAAAUGAAUACAUAUGUACUUAUGUCAUGAAUUUUGGUGAUUUGGGAUGUAAAGGUCAAAUUGUUAUAUAUAUAUGUUAUUGUAUGUUCGGCUAUGAUAUUUGACUAUUUAUGUUUGGUUUACGAUGGCAAGAAUGAAUAUGUUUUAACUGUUAUAUUGAAGUCAUAUUAAAUGACCGAAUAUAUAUAAAUUGAUUUACUUGUGUAUAUGAAAUUUCAGCAUGAUUUAUAGCAUAUGAAAUUGACAUGUUUUGAUUUGGCUAAAUGACAUGAAAAACGAUUAAUGUUAGUCAAGUGAGCAAUGUAUGAAUUGGUUAUGUUGCAAGCGAAAUUUGGUUAUUUAGAUAUGCUUGUAUGUGAUUGUAAAAUUUUGCUUACUUAACCAUGAGGUAUAGUUCAGAUACAAGCUAGCGCAGAUGAGCAAAUUUCUCAACUUAGAGCGGAGGCAGCAGCGAGGGAGGCAGAGGCAGCAGCGAGGGAGGCGGAGCAGAACAGAAAAUACAAUGAACUCCAGCUACAGCUUCAGUCUAUGAUGACUAUUUUCCAGCAAUUUCAAAAUCCGCCAUCUUAAACAUUUGUUUUAUUGUAACUUUUAACAUUAUUUUAAGAAUAUUUUGAAUAUUCAUUUACAAUUUAUAUAAUAUAUUUUUCGUAUAAUUUUGUAUUAUUUAAAUUUGCGGGUUUUGGUUGGAUUUCAUUGUACAUUUGUUGUUUUUGUUUGAGUUUCUUGCAGGAGGGUUGGAUAUAGGUGGAAAAACAUAUAUAGCAAAACUUGUUAACUUAGCGGCGUUUUUUAAAAAAGUGCUGCGAAAGGACCUGAUCUUUAGUGGCGUUUUUUAUAAAAGCGCUGCAAA